rnacentral:rRNA from 1 species
UAGGGAAUCUUCCACAAUGGACGCAAGUCUGAUGGAGCAACGCCGCGUGAGUGAAGAAGGUUUUCGGAUCGUAAAGCUCUGUUGUUGGUGAAGAAGGAUAGAGGCAGUAACUGGUCUUUAUUUGACGGUAAUCAACCAGAAAGUCACGGCUAACUACGUGCCAGCAGCCGCGGUAAUACGUAGGUGGCAAGCGUUGUCCGGAUUUAUUGGGCGUAAAGCGAGCGCAGGCGGAAUGAUAAGUCUGAUGUGAAAGCCCACGGCUCAACCGUGGAACUGCAUCGGAAACUGUCAUUCUUGAGUGCAGAAGAGGAGAGUGGAACUCCAUGUGUAGCGGUGGAAUGCGUAGAUAUAUGGAAGAACACCAGUGGCGAAGGCGGCUCUCUGGUCUGCAACUGACGCUGAGGCUCGAAAGCAUGGGUAGCGAACAGGAUUAGAUACCCUGGUAGUCCAUGCCGUAAACGAUGAGCGCUAGGUGUUGGGGACUUUCCGGUCCUCAGUGCCGCAGCAAACGCAUUAAGCGCUCCGCCUGGGGAAUACGACCGCAAGGUUGAAAC